rnacentral:rRNA from 1 species
AUACGUAGGGGGCGAGCGUUGUCCGGAUUUACUGGGCGUAAAGGGUGAGUAGGCGGUUGUAUAUGUCAGGUGUAAAAGGCACAGGCUUAACUUGUGUUAGCACUUGAAACUGUACGACUUGAGUGCAGGGGAGGUAAGCGGAAUUCCUAGUGUAGGAGUGAAAUCCGUAGAUAUUAGGAGGAACACCGGUGGCGAAGGCGGCUACCUGGACCAAUACUGACGCUGAGACGCGAAAGCGUGGGGAGC